rnacentral:rRNA from 1 species
GCCCAGCACCGAAUCUCGUACCGUGCAGGUGCCGAGAAAUGUGGUGUUUGGGAGGGUCACUUCCUAAGGUGCGCGGUGAGUCCAAGUCCCUCUUGAACGGGGCCACGGCCCAGAGAAGGUGCCAGGCCUGUGCGACCACUGUCUUGCCCGUAGGAUGGCCUCUCCUUAGAGUCGGGUUCUUUGAAAGUAGAGCCCUAAGUGGGUGGUAAACUCCAUCUAAGGCUAAAUAUGACCACGAGACCGAUAGCGAACAAGUACCGUGAGGGAAAGUUGAAAAGAACUUUGAAGAGAGAGUUCAAUAGUACGUGAAACCGUUCAGGGGUAAACGAGUGGAACCUAAAAGUUCGAACGGGGGGAUUCAGGCCCGAGGGAUGUUGGUCCGCGCCGACCGGCCAGAUUCGUCUCCGACGGACUCGGUCGGUGCGGGUGCCGAUUCUCUGGGACCGCACUUCUCCCCUAGUAGGACGCCGCGACCGAUUGGAGAGCGAUCUACGGCCCGGACGGGAGCCUGUUCCUUUGCGCAAGCCGAGGGGCAGACCGCCGGUGUCCCGGUCGCACUCCGAUCGUAUGAGCUGUGGGGACAACCCGCGCUUCGGCGCGCCCGGCCCGUGGCAAACGCGGAGGUACCGCCGGUUGUCGGACUCGUGCCGGCGCCAGCGCCCUCUCGUUGUUGGCUGCGAUGGUCUCGGGCUUUAGGGGACGACCCCGGUCUGCGGCGCUCUUGAUUGGUGGUCCACUCGACCCGUCUUGAAACACGGACCAAGGAGUCUAACAUGUGCGCGAGUCAUUGAGUGUGACUAAACUUAAAGGCGUAAUGAAAGUGAAGGUUUGCAUUGGUCGAACCGAGGGGAGAUCCGGUCCCGUUUACGGGGCCGGCGCAUCCCCGGGGCGUCUCGUCCGCUUCGCGGUGAGGCGCACCUAGAGCGUACACGUUGGGACCCGAAAGAUGGUGAACUAUGCCUGGCCAGGACGAAGCCAGGGGAAACCCUGGUGGAGGUCCGUAGCGAUUCUGACGUGCAAAUCGAUCGUCGGAGCUGGGUAUAGGGGCGAAAGACUAAUCGAACCAUCUAGUAGCUGGUUCCCUCCGAAGUUUCCCUCAGGAUAGCUGGUGCUCGAGGGAACUGAGUCUCAUCCGGUAAAGCGAAUGAUUAGAGGCCUUGGGGCCGAAACGACCUCAACCUAUUCUCAAACUUUAAAUGGGUGAGAAGUCCGGCUUGCUUGAGUGAAGCCAGGACUUUAAGGAUCUGAGCAUCCAGUGGGCCACUUUUGGUAAGCAGAACUGGCGCUGUGGGAUGAACCAAACGCCGGGUUAAAGCGCCCGAAUCGACGCUCAUGAGAUCCCAUGAAAGGUGUUGGUUGCUUAAGACAGCAGGACGGUGGCCAUGGAAGUCGGAAUCCGCUAAGGAGUGUGUAACAACUCACCUGCCGAAGCAACUAGCCCUGAAAAUGGAUGGCGCUGAAGCGUCGUGCUCAUACCCGGCCGCCGGGGCAAUGGCGACGCCCUCGUGGCGUCUUGAGGCCCCGGUGAGUAGGAGGGUCGCAGCGGUGUGCGCAGAAGGGUCUGGGCGUGAGCCUGCCUGGAGCCGCCGCUGGUGCAGAUCUUGGUGGUAGUAGCAAAUACUCCAGCGAGGCCCUGGAGGACUGAUGUGGAGAAGGGUUUCGUGUGAACAGCCGUUGCACACGAGUCAGUCGAUCCUAAGCCACAAGAGAAAUCUUAGCCAUUGAGGGGCUGUUGAGUAAGUGAUGAAAGAUGGCACCCCCAGGCUUUGGCGAAAGGGAAUCCGGUUCCUAUUCCGGAACCCGGCUGCGGAACCGCUCUUACGGGCCCUCGGGUUCGACAGGGUAACCUAAAAGGACCCGGAGACGCCGUCGGGAGCCCCGGGAAGAGUUUUCUUUUCUGCAUGAGCGUCCGAGUCCCUGGAAUCCUCUCGCAGGGAGAUAGGGUUUUGGACGCGAAGAGCACCGCAUUUGCGGCGGUGUCCGGGGAGUCCCGACGGACCUUGAAAAUCCGGGUGAGGGCUACGUGGAGGUCUCGCGCCGGCUCGUACCCAUAUCCGCAGCAGGUCUCCAAGGUGAAGAGCCUCUAGUCGAUAGAAUAAUGUAGGUAAGGGAAGUCGGCAAAUCGGAUCCGUAACUUCGGGAUAAGGAUUGGCUCUGAGGGUCGGGGCGGUCGGGCUUGGUUGAGAAACGGAUGGUGUCGACGCGUCGGGCCUGGGCGAGAUUUCGGUCGAGCUCGGUCCCGUACCUUGGCCCUCCGCGGACCUUCCUUGCUGCGAGGUCGGGUGUUUGCGCGCCCGCUCCUCUUCGGCCGCCAAUCAACGACCGACUCAGAACUGGCACGGACCGGGGGAAUCCGACUGUCUAAUUAAAACAAAGCAUUGCGAUGGCCCUAGCGGGUGUUGACGCAAUGUGAUUUCUGCCCAGUGCUCUGAAUGUCAACGUGAAGAAAUUCAAGCAAGCGCGGGUAAACGGCGGGAGUAACUAUGACUCUCUUAAGGUA